rnacentral:rRNA from 1 species
CCUACGGUGAGCAGCAGUGAGGAAUAUUGGUCAAUGGACGCAAGUCUGAACCAGCCAUGCCGCGUGCAGGAAGACGGCUCUAUGAGUUGUAAACUGCUUUUGUACGAGGGUAAACGCAGAUACGCGUAUCUGUCUGAAAGUAUCGUACGAAGAAGGAGCGGCUAACUCCGUGCCAGCAGCCGCGGUAAUACGGAGGAUUCAAGGGUUAUCCGGAUUUAUUGGGUUUAAAGGGUGCGUAGGCGGUCGGAUAAGUUAGAGGUGAAAUCCCGAGGCUCAACGUCGGAAUUGCCUCUGAUACUGUUCGGCUAGAGAGUAGUUGCGGUAGGCGGAAUGUAUGGUGUAGCAGUGAAAUGCUUAGAGAUCAUACAGAACACCGAUUGCGAAGGCAGCUUACCAAGCUACUUCUGACGUUGAGGCACGAAAGCGUGGGGAGCAAACAGGAUUAGAUACCCGGGUAGUC